rnacentral:rRNA from 1 species
UACGUAGGGUGCAAGCGUUAAUCGGAAUUACUGGGCGUAAAGCGUGCGCAGGCGGUUGUGCAAGACAGGUGUGAAAUCCCCGGGCUUAACCUGGGAACUGCACUUGUGACUGCACGGCUGGAGUACGGCAGAGGGGGAUGGAAUUCCGCGUGUAGCAGUGAAAUGCGUAGAUAUGCGGAGGAACACCGAUGGCGAAGGCAGCCCCCUGGGCCGACACUGACGCUCAGGCACGAAAGCGUGGGGAGCAAACAGG